GCUGCGAUGGCCUAGUGGAAGGCGUUGGACUCGAAAUCCAAUGGGAUAUACCCGCGCAGGUUCGAAUCCUGUUCGCAGCG
rnacentral:tRNA from 1 species